ACGCAUGCACCGGAUCUCAUCAGAACUCCGCAGCUAAGUGUGCUUGGGCGAGAGUAGUACUAGGAUGGGUGACCUAAAUUAGCCCCCUAGUACUACUCUCG
rnacentral:rRNA from 1 species